rnacentral:sRNA from 1 species
UAUUCAUAUUUCCCUUUAGCUUGUCAUGCUACAAAAUGGGGUACUAAUUGUACCAAGGAUUGCAGUAGAUCCUGUCUGACUUCAGUGUGUGAUUCUUCAAAUGGAAAUUGUCUUUUAGGAUGUUUAGGUUUCAGCGAUCCACCCGUGUGCGCACAGCAGUGCUCAGGUGGCUACUAUGGCAUUAACUGCUCGGACAAAUGCUCAGACAGAUGCUUGAACAGUUUAUGUAAUAAAACAUUCGGCCAGUGUUUGGCUUGCCAUGCUGGCUUCAUAGGAGAUGACUGCAAUACAAUUUGCUCUCCUGGAACAUAUGGAAAUCAUUGUGACUCAAACUGUUCAAGUCAUUGCUUAAAUAACUGCAAUAAUAUUGAUGGGCAAUGCUCGCCAUGUAAACCUGGAUACCAGAAUCUUCACUGUGAUCAAGAAUGUAUUCUUAAGAGGUAUGGACCUGGCUGUAGUUUAAACUGCAGCUUCAACUGUCGUGAUAAUUUAUGUGACCCAGUUAGCGGAAGAUGUUACCAGUGCCCAAUUGAUAGAUAUGGCGAUUUUUGUGAUGGUUGGUUUCGUUUAUGCUUUAGUUUCGUAUUUGUUUUACUACUUUCGAUUUUGAUUUAACACAAUAAUAAUUUAGGUACACGAUCUCUCUAACACUUUAUAAAAAGUUUUUAAGAUCUUGUACUGUAUGGUUGUGGUUGCAAUAUUGAGCAGGUGAAUUUCAAUCGUUUUGUUUGUGUUUCGUCUUCGUCUCGAGGAAACACCCACCCUGUCAGAGCUCAACAAAGCCAUAGACAACAUUGCUGCCCGCAAAGCACCCGGAUGCGAUGGUAUCCCCCAGAUCUUCUAAAAAAAUGCAAAACUACUCUAAUCCAACCUCUACACGAACUGCUUUGCAAAUGUUGGCAAGAAGGUGCUGUGCCACAAGACCUGCGGGAUGCUU